rnacentral:lncRNA from 1 species
UUUCAAGAGGGAGGGAAUGAUGUGAUCAUAGAUAGGCAGCUUGAACCGGAACAUGAAGAGCUUGUAGCUGAGGAUGCAACCUUGAAAAAUGUUUUGAAACAAGAAGAAUACAUUGGUCUUGGUCGAAGCUUGAUCAUCCAAGACACAUUAACCACCAUUCAAGCUACUCCACCAUCAAGCUGAUCAUCAUCUAGGCAAGUGGCUUGUGUGUACUCUUUUUCCUUUGAUUGGUUUUGUCCCACUGGGUUUUCUAAUCAAAGUUUUUAAUGAGGCCACAAGUUCACUUUCACAUCUCCUAGAUGAUGCAUCUCGGUCCAACCUUAUCCCCAGACCAACCUUAUGUUAUAUUAUAUACUAUGCUUUUAUUUCAUGUUUUUUUUUUGAAAGCUCUAGUCUUUAAGUUUAGUCUUUGUUGUAGUUUCAAGAGGAGCCUUUGCGCUUUAUUUCUCUUAUGUUUUCUAGACCUUGUGCAUGUACAAGGAUCUCUCUUUAUAUGUGUGUUUCGAAAUCAGUCUGAAUAACAAGUAUUCUUUUAUUCAAAAUCCUUAUUUUUCUCUCUUCUUGCUUUGUCAAGUUCGUGAGUGUCUGGUGUGUAGUAUCCAGUCUGCUGGUGUUUAAUAUCCAGCGUCUAAGGGCCUUAGUUUGGUGUGUCAUAUCCGAUCUAUUGCGUAGGAGUAUCAAGGAGCCUUUCCGCAGCCUCUUGUAUCACCAUUCGAUCCAUAUGCCUUGAGAAACUUGAGUCUUUUGAUUCGUUUCUCCAAGGAUUAUCCCAUCUGUUCCAGAGCAAUUUAUUAAGAUCUCAUUAUUUUCCGUCACACAUCCAUUUAGAACUUCAGAGUUAAGCGUGCUUG